CAGAUUUUGGUUUAUUCUUAUUUACAAUAAGUGUUUAACUGUUCAAUCCAGUUGAGUCUGA
rnacentral:tRNA from 1 species